UCCUUGUUUUGUGCGUUGUCUUGUCCAUGCUGUUGACCAGCUCGUACUGUAUAUGUACUUUAUCUUGGUUUGUGAUAACUUUUUUUUUUUGAUUACGUUGUUACAAUCCCACCCCAGCAUUGUACUCCAGCGAAAGCUUCCUCCGUGGUGACUACACAUGCAUGUUUUUCCUUUUAGGGAUCCAAUGGGUGGAAUGGGCUCCUAUUUGGGAGCACUUGUAUCCUUUUUGGGAUCCAGCAGGAGAAAUCAACCACUUUGAUCAGCAAAUGGCACGGGCACGGUGGUACCUAUUGGAAUGUCCCCCAGGGCACCUGACAGGACACUUUUCUUCUUGUUGGACCGUGAAAUGUGAUUCACCCCCUCAAGAACGAGGCUUCAGCUUUUUGGUUCGAAAAAUUUCAAAAAAGAGGCAUCCUGCAGCAAAUGGAUCUUCUUCUGAGCAAGUGGAGUAUAAAGAUGUUUACAAUGCUUUUUCAAUAAAAUACAUGUGAUGA